CGCGACAUGUUUCCCCUGGCGUCCAUGGCGGCGGAUUUGGUUGAGUUAAUCGGCUUGCGGGUGCUGGCCGCCGGAGACCUGCUCGACUACAUCCGCUUUCGUGCAGUGUGCGCACACUCCUGGUCAAGCACUAUCCACCCGCGUGGCCAUGGCAUCACCGACUCGCGCUUUCAUCCGCGUCGGUGGAUGAUGCUGCCGGACGGCCACAGGCUCCAUCUUGAAGACGGUAGGAAACGUUUCCUCAACCUUGACACCGGAAAGUUCGUGCGUCCUCGAGUUCCUCUUCUGGACGACCACUGCCUCCUCUGCUCGGUCGAAGGCCUCCUCCUCAUGCAGCGGCAACAUGGCGACCAAGACGAAGACCCUAUAUGCCUCCUUCACCCCUUCACGGGAGACACCGCAAAGUUCCCGCCAGUCACGUAUCGCACGAUGGUGCGCUUGUUUGGGUCAGCGUACCACUUGAAUUCUCACAACGGAUCUGCUUACUUGUUGCCAGGCAGGGUGACCGCCUCCUUGACUGUUAACGCUGAAGGGGUCGUUAUGAUCACGGUCGUGCUUCCAGAUGUUUCACGCGCGCUCUUUGCCACCACCAAGGACAAGCAAUGGAGAUUAUCGGCCUGGAGCUUCUCCCCAAACGGCAGCACCAUAUCAUCACAAGGAAAAAUUUACAUGGUACAACCCAAGCCCACGUCUAGCGUCGAACUGCAGAUUUUACAAAUCGACCCACCUCGGCCCGAGAAGAUUUAUGGAUCCAGUUCGUCUUCGUUUCCGGCACCAAAGGUGAUUGCCAUAUGCCCCACGGGCAUGCUCAACGCCCUUUCUGAAUUAGUAGAAUGCGACUCGGAGAUACUACUUGUGGAUUCCAGCGAUUACGUCUUAUCCAAGCGCAUGGCAGUCUACAAAAUAGCAGACCUUAUCCAAGGAAGAGUUACUCCUCUAACAAGCAUCGGGGACAAGGCUCUCUUGGUUGGUGUCAGAAGGAGUGGGAGUCUUAUCGGAAGGAAUCUGAGUGUGAGUUUGAAGGCAAUGCCAACCAUUGCAGGUGACAUGAUUGUAUGCCAUGAUCCCAUACAUGAAAAAUAUCUUGGACAAUAUCACAUUGGUAGCGGCACUUGGUCGCUAAGAGAUAUGAUAUGCGACAUAUAUAGUGCUUCUGGGUGGUGUACUUGUAGUCUCAUCGACCAUAUCUAUGGAGCCUGU
rnacentral:rRNA from 1 species